rnacentral:rRNA from 1 species
UACGAAGGGGGCUAGCGUUGUUCGGAAUUACUGGGCGUAAAGCGCGUGUAGGCGGGUCUUUAAGUCAGGGGUGAAAUGCCAAGGCUCAACCUUGGAACUGCCUUUGAUACUGGAGAUCUUGAGUCCGGGAGAGGUGAGUGGAAUUGCGAGUGUAGAGGUGAAAUUCGUAGAUAUUCGCAAGAACACCAGUGGCGAAGGCGGCUCACUGGCCCGGAACUGACGCUGAGGUGCGAAAGCGUGGGGAGCAAACAGG